ACUAUUUUGGCAGAAAAAUGUAAUGGUUUUAGGAGUCAUUUAUGUAUAAUAUUUAUUAUAUAAGUAGUA
rnacentral:tRNA from 1 species